AUUGAACGCUGGCGGCAUGCCUUACACAUGCAAGUCGAACGGCAGCACGGGGGCAACCCUGGUGGCGAGUGGCGAACGGGUGAGUAAUGCAUCGGAACGUGCCCAGUAGUGGGGGAUAACUAGUCGAAAGAUUAGCUAAUACCGCAUACGACCUGUGGGUGAAAGCGGGGGAUUCGCAAGAACCUCGCGCUAUCGGAGCGGCCGAUGUCUGAUUAGCUAGUUGGCGGGGUAAAAGCCCACCAAGGCUUCGAUCAGUAGCUGGUCUGAGAGGACGACCAGCCACACUGGGACUGAGACACGGCCCAGACUCCUACGGGAGGCAGCAGUGGGGAAUUUUGGACAAUGGGCGCAAGCCUGAUCCAGCCAUGCCGCGUGCGGGAAGAAGG
rnacentral:rRNA from 1 species